GCAUUUUGACGUUGAUUUUUGUUUCUAUGAACUUUAAUAGGCAACACAUUAGCUGUAUUUGAGGAUGGAUUCCGAAGCAGCGACCCAUUCUGCAGGUACAGCCAGCAGCAGCAGACCGUCUGCGGACCCAUUGCUGCCCGUGCUGCCCAUUCUGGACCCCACUGUGCCCCUGGACAGGCAGCAAUGUGUCCUGAAGGCAACCAAAGAGGCCAGGGCCUUUCACAGGCCCAAAGGCUUCCAAGCCAGCGCCGGUCCCAAGGACCUUCAGACGGCUUGUGAUGAAGCAAAAAGGAGAUGCCGGCUCGUCCCUACUACCAGGCCCUCAAAGAAGCUCUACCUUGGCCAGCUGGUUUUUCCCUUUGGGAAAUAUGCAGGCCAAAGCUUCAUGUGGCUGGUAGCGAAUGAUGUGGGCUACUUAAAAUAUCUGCUUGACCGCCAUAUUGCGGAGAGCCAGGACCCGGGCAGGACAGGAGGAACCAGGGAGAAUGACUGGGUGAAGGACUGUCUCCUCCGUUAUGUGGAGUUUUUCCCCUCAGUCUCCUGCCACCUGGAGAAAAAUGUGGACAGGGCCAUUUAUGGACAGGGUCGCUUUAAGUCCUUCACCUUUCAGGAGAUGUGGCAGUGGUACAGCCUGCACAAGUGCCUUAAUGCCGACCCUCAAGCUGGCAGUGCCCAAGAGAGGAAGAUGGCAGAGGAGGCUUUCUCUUCUGUUCGCCAGUGGCUUUGAAAGAAGGAGGAGGACAUCAGCUCCAAGUCACUGAAGCGCUUCAGGAGAUUUAUUCUCGACAAAGAGAAACCGAAAGCCCCUACUGCAGCUGUACCAUCUUCGUCCUUGUCUGGUCCUGUCCCAACUGAAACAGUGGUUCCUCCGUCAGCGUCAGCGUCUGCUUCAGUGGCCCCUCCGACAGCAACAUCCCAGUCACCUUGGGAGGAUGAUGCAUUGUUAUCAGAGGCUCUCGCCACUUUUGAAGCUGACACUGCCAUGGCCCCUCCACCAGACCCUCCACAGCAGCCACAGACAGACCCCGUUCCACCAUCGCAGGUGUCAUUUGAGGGCUGGCACAAACAGUGGGAGUCCGGCCCUCAAGGUCUCCCCAGUGCUGACGUGAAGUGGCUGAAGGAGGACGCUGACAGGGGGCUCUUUAAGAACCUCACCAUCGCUCGCAGGAAAAUUCUGAAGGAUGAUCGCAUGUGGUUCCAUCCACCAGAAAUUCCUGGAGUGGUGGUGGGGGGAGGAGUGCCCUCUGCAGACGCUUUUUUUUAGAAGCCGUGUCUUCUUUUGGA